UACGGAGGGUGCAAGCGUUAUCCGGAUUCACUGGGUUUAAAGGGUGCGUAGGCGGACACUUAAGUCCGUGGUGAAAUCUCUGGGCUUAACCCAGAAACUGCCAUGGAUACUAUUUGUCUUGAAUGUUGUGGAGGUUAGCGGAAUAUGUCAUGUAGCGGUGAAAUGCAUAGAUAUGACAUAGAACACCAAUUGCGAAGGCAGCUGGCUACACAAAUAUUGACGCUGAGGCACGAAAGCGUGGGGAGCAAACAGG
rnacentral:rRNA from 1 species